UACGUAGGGUGCAAGCGUUGUCCGGAAUUAUUGGGCGUAAAGAGCUCGUAGGCGGUUUGUCGCGUCGGCUGUGAAAGCCCGGAGCUCAACUCCGGGUCUGCAGUCGAUACGGGCAGACUUGAGUGUUGCAGGGGAGACUGGAAUUCCUGGUGUAGCGGUGAAAUGCGUAGAGAUCCGGAGGAACACCGAAGGCGAAGGCAGUGUCCUGGCGAGUGACUGACGCUGAGGUGCGAAAGCCAGGGGAGCGAACGGG
rnacentral:rRNA from 1 species